rnacentral:rRNA from 1 species
UAGAGUUUGAUCAUGGCUCAGGAUGAACGCUAGCGGGAGGCCUAACACAUGCAAGCCGAGCGGUAGAGAUCUUUCGGGAUCUUGAGAGCGGCGUACGGGUGCGGAACACGUGUGCAACCUGCCUUUAUCAGGGGGAUAGCCUUUCGAAAGGAAGAUUAAUACCCCAUAAUAUAUUGAAUGGCAUCAUUUGAUAUUGAAAACUCCGGUGGAUAGAGAUGGGCACGCGCAAGAUUAGAUAGUUGGUAGGGUAACGGCCUACCAAGUCAGUGAUCUUUAGGGGGCCUGAGAGGGUGAUCCCCCACACUGGUACUGAGACACGGACCAGACUCCUACGGGAGGCAGCAGUGAGGAAUAUUGGACAAUGGGUGAGAGCCUGAUCCAGCCAUCCCGCGUGAAGGACGACGGCCCUAUGGGUUGUAAACUUCUUUUGUAUAGGGAUAAACCUUUCCACGUGUGGAAAGCUGAAGGUACUAUACGAAUAAGCACCGGCUAACUCCGUGCCAGCAGCCGCGGUAAUACGGAGGGUGCAAGCGUUAUCCGGAUUUAUUGGGUUUAAAGGGUCCGUAGGCGGAUCUGUAAGUCAGUGGUGAAAUCUCAUAGCUUAACUAUGAAACUGCCAUUGAUACUGCAGGUCUUGAGUAAAGUAGAAGUGGCUGGAAUAAGUAGUGUAGCGGUGAAAUGCAUAGAUAUUACUUAGAACACCAAUUGCGAAGGCAGGUCACUAUGUUUUAACUGACGCUGAUGGACGAAAGC